rnacentral:lncRNA from 1 species
GUACUCUCAUGGCAGAACAGCUGGCGAGUGUACCCUUUCUGCAGAAAGUAAAAAUGCCCUUGCUGAGGAAAUUAAAUUUAUGUUCAAGUAAAUUUCUUUAUGGCACUGGGAAACAAGCAUUUCUAACAAUUUUGGUGGAAAUCCGUACAUGGAUACGUUCUCUUCUGGGGGCGGUCUCCAGUCCUUUCUCAUGAGGGAGCACACUCCUCUGCCUCAUUGCAGUGGCCUCAGGGAUAUGGAAUUAAGAUCCACCUGGUGUGAUGAAUAAACCCAGACUCUCAGCAACGCAGGAAAAAAAAAACAAAAACUGGCUGGCGAUCUGGAGUAAAGGAUCCUCACAUCCACGUGAACCAGGAAACUCUGUGCCCAAAUCGACGAAAAAAAAACACUGGGAGAGCCGAACUAAAAGUCUUUUAGCACGGGUACCAGCCCUAGAAUUUCCAGUACACCAGCAGCAGCCUGGAAACCACAUCCUCAUCAAAAGACAGAAAGAAAAAAACUCGAGCCAGCCUGAGAAGGACCCUAUUUUAUGCUGUUAACCACUGAGACUGCCAUCCUCACAGCUGAGAAAGGAUGGACCCACCAUACUCAAGUCAAGAAAACAUCUUCCUCGUCAGAAUCAUGGGUUACUGUACUAGGAUUAAGCCUUACUAAGUUAAAGUUAAAGAAAGCUUAAUUUUCAUAUACCUUCUAUAUUGCUUCUUUUCCUUUCCUUAUUCUGUUACUAGCUCCUUUGUUAUUAAUGUAACUAAGUCUGAGUCACCUCAGACCAUUGCCUUUUAUGCUUGCUCUGUCAUACCUUGUGGAAAUGUAAAAGAUCAAUGACAGCUAGCCUUUUCACACAAUUAUUUAUGCCUCGGCCCUCUAAUUGACACAGUUACCCCUAGCACUCAUCGUUGUGAUCACCUGCAGCCAAGACGCUGAUUUUCUGCUCCUAUAGCCUGGCAACCUUGUGGUACAUGGGACUACGUCCUUUAAACUACCCAGGAGCAAAGUUGGACUUCCAUGAAAAAGAUCUCCACCCACCCUACAAAAUGCUUAAAAGGUAACUUAACUCUUUGUUCUGGGCUCAGUCCUUUGGGCUGAGUACUGGGCCGGUGCACCUAAAUAAUAAAUAUCUUCCUGAACCCCAUUUGUCUCUCUGAUUCCUUAAAAAAUCCCGCAACAUUUCUGGGGACUCGCCUGGGAUUGGAGACGACAGAUUUACUGUCUCCUUUGCCUGUGGGGACUAGAGCCCAAGGACCGGGGGAGACCCG